rnacentral:rRNA from 1 species
UAGGGAAUCUUCCACAAUGGACGCAAGUCUGAUGGAGCAACGCCGCGUGAGUGAAGAAGGUUUUCGGACCGUAAAGCUCUGUUGUUGGUGAAGAAGGAUAGAGGUAGUAACUGGCCUUUAUUUGACGGUAAUCAACCAGAAAGUCACGGCUAACUACGUGCCAGCAGCCGCGGUAAUACGUAGGUGGCAAGCGUUGUCCGGAUUUAUUGGGCGUAAAAGCGAGCGCAGGCGGAAGAAUAAGUCUGAUGUGAAAGCCCUCGGCUUAACCGAGGAAAU